UACGUAGGGUGCGAGCGUUGUCCGGAAUUAUUGGGCGUAAAGGGCUCGUAGGCGGUUUGUCGCGUCGGGAGUGAAAACCAUGAGCUUAACUCAUGGCUUGCUUUCGAUACGGGCAGACUAGAGGCAUGCAGGGGAGAACGGAAUUCCUGGUGUAGCGGUGAAAUGCGCAGAUAUCAGGAGGAACACCGGUGGCGAAGGCGGUUCUCCGGGCAUGUCCUGACGCUGAGGAGCGAAAGUGUGGGGAGCGAACAGG
rnacentral:rRNA from 1 species